rnacentral:lncRNA from 1 species
CUUGACCUUAGGAGAAAGAAAUCUACCAUAAUUUUGUCAGACUAAGUCAGGGAGCAUGGAUCAUCUGUGAGCAUGUCUACAAGGAGGACAAAGCGGGUAGUACUAUGGGGUCUCUUGCAUGUACCAUGCACACUAUAGUCUAUGUGAAUGCUGCUCCCCGGAAUCAUCAAGAUUUUUUUCAGAUACCAAUUUUAUAAUGAGUGAGAAUGAUAACGAGGGACAGAACUACCAGGAGGAAGGCAUGUGAAGACUUUGUAUAUAGAGUCAAUAAGAAGAUUUUAAACACGUGCAUGUAAACUUGGCCGACAAGAGGCACUUGGAUCUAGAGAGACUGGCAACAUAUAGCAGAACUUCAGCAUAGCCUAGAGCUCUGUUACAGAAAUUAUGAGCUGGGAGAAGAGACAAUGGUGAGCUGAUGGAAGUCAGAGCAGCCAGGUUAAUUAAUUAGGACUCUCAAUAAACACUAGAACAAAAAUAAAGAAGACAGUAAUCCGCUAGAACAAAAUGGAAACCAAGGAGUCACUACCCACCCAUAGACCCAAUAACAAUAGAUGACAAUUUUUGAUAAGAAAAUUAGAAGCAGGAGAGAAAUUAGCAUUUUAUGAAAGAGGUUGUAGUCAGUUGGACAGAUGGAUGUUUAAUACUUGAAUCCUCUAUUUACACAUGCUAGUGUAUCUUCCUCUCUGGAUCUGUUUCCAUAUAAGGGAUAUAAUAAUUAUUAUUUCAUACAGACAUUUUGUUGUGUUGUUGAUACAUUUGUGUGAGGUACAUGAAUAAUGUAUCUAAG